rnacentral:misc_RNA from 1 species
GAUGAAGAACGCAGCGAAACGCGAUAGUUAAUGUGAAUUGCAGAAUUCAGAGAAUCAUCGAGUCUUUGAGCGCACAUUGCGCCCAUUGGUAUUCCGUUGGGCAUGUCUGUUUGAGCGUCAUUACAACAGUUCAGCGUAAGCUGGUUAUGAGUUCUGUUUUUUUAAACAAAAAACAGGCUUUAAAAUGUAUGUUCUGCAGGUCGCUUUGCUAAACCCUAAACAUUAAAUACUGUUCUAGUGAAGCAUUUGCGACUCUGCCUGAAAAAAAACUUUUGUUAAAGUUUGACCUCAGAUCAGACAAGGAUACCCGCUGAACUUAAGCAUAUCAAUAAGCGGAGGA